rnacentral:rRNA from 1 species
AUUGAACGCUGGCGGCAGGCCUAACACAUGCAAGUCGAGCGAGCGGCGGACGGGUGAGUAAUGUAUGGGGACUGCCCGAUAGAGGGGGAUAACUACUGGAAACGGUGGCUAAUACCGCAUACUAUCGGAUAACCCAUAUGGGAUUAGAUAGUAGGUGGGGUAAAGGCUCACCUAGGCGACGAUCUCUAGCUGGUCUGAGAGGAUGAUCAGCCACACCGUGACUGAGACACGGCCCAGACUCCUACGGAGGAAGCAGGGGGGAAUAUUGCAACAUGGGCGCAAGCCGGAGGCAGUCAUGCCGCGUGUAUGAAGAAGGCCUUAGGUGUGUAAAGUACAUUCAGCGGGGAGGCGUUACCCGCAGAAGAAGCACCGGCUAACUCCGGGCUAGCAGCCGCGGUAAUAC